rnacentral:rRNA from 1 species
CCUACGGGAGGCAGCAGUGAGGAAUAUUGGUCAAUGGACGAGAGUCUGAACCAGCCAAGUAGCGUGAAGGAUGACUGCCCUAUGGGUUGUAAACUUCUUUUAUAUGGGAAUAAAAUGUUCCACGUGUGCGUUUUUGUGUGUACCAUAUGAAUAAGGAUCGGCUAACUCCGUGCCAGCAGCCGCGGUAAUACGGAGGAUCCGAGCGUUAUCCGGAUUUAUUGGGUUUAAAGGGAGCGUAGGUGGGUUGUUAAGUCAGUUGUGAAAGUUUGCGGCUCAACCGUAAAAUUGCAGUUGAUACUGGCAGUCUUGAGUACAGUAGAGGUAGGCGGAAUUCGUGGUGUAGCGGUGAAAUGCUUAGAUAUCACGAAGAACCCCGAUUGCGAAGGCAGCUUACUGGAGUCCAACUGACGCUGAGGCUCGAAAGUGUGGGUAUCGAACAGGAUUAGAUACCCUGGUAGUC